rnacentral:rRNA from 1 species
GACGAACGCUGGCGGCGUGCCUAAUACAUGCAAGUUGAGCGCUGAAGGUUGGUACUUGUACCAACUGGAUGAGCAGCGAACGGGUGAGUAACGCGUGGGGAAUCUGCCUUUGAGCGGGGGACAACAUUUGGAAACGAAUGCUAAUACCGCAUAAAAACUUUAAACACAAGUUUUAAGUUUGAAAGAUGCAAUUGCAUCACUCAAAGAUGAUCCCGCGUUGUAUUAGCUAGUUGGUGAGGUAAAGGCUCACCAAGGCGAUGAUACAUAGCCGACCUGAGAGGGUGAUCGGCCACAGUGGGACUGAGACACGGCCCAAACUCCUACGGGAGGCAGCAGUAGGGAAUCUUCGGCAAUGGACGAAAGUCUGACCGAGCAACGCCGCGUGAGUGAAGAAGGUUUUCGGAUCGUAAAACUCUGCUGGUAGAGAAGAACGUUGGUGAGAGUGGAAAGCUCAUCAAGUGACGGUAACUACCCAGAAGGGGACGGCUAACUACGUG